CGAGCACGCGCGUGUGGCAUAUCAAUAAGCGGAGGAAAAGAAACUAACAAGGAUUCCCUUAGUAACGGCGAGUGAAGCGGGAAGAGCUCAAAUUUGAAAUCUUCAAGGUUCUACCUUGACGAAUUGUAGUUUAUAGAAGUGUCUUCUGUUAGUGGAGUGGCAAAAGUUCUUUGGAAUAGGACAUCAUAGAGGGUGAGAAUCCCGUAUUUGGUCAUUCCUCCUAGCGUUGUGAUACACUUUCAACGAGUCGGAUUGUUUGGGAAUGCAGUCCAAAAUGGGUGGUAAAUUUCAUCUAAAGCUAAAUAUUGGCGAGAGACCGAUAGCGAACAAGUACCGUGAGGGAAAGAUGAAAAGAACUUUGAAAAGAGAGUUAAACAGUACGUGAAAUUGUCAAAAGGGAAGCGUUUGACACCAGUGUUGUUUUUCCGAAAAUCAAUUACGAAUGUUUUAUUUUUGAGGAGUUAUGACUUCAUCGGCUUGCUCCUUUCUUUAUGAAACUUUCUUAAUGCACUUUUCGGUUAACAAGUCAACAUCAAUUUCUUUUGUUGUAAAAGGGUAUGAGGAAGGUGGCUUUCUUUUCGGAGAAAGUGUUUAUAGCCUUGUGCCUCUACAAUCGGAGAGAUUGAGGUCUGCAGCGUAGAUCCUUCGGGGUUAGAUACGUUUGUGCUAAGUUAUAGCUUUUCAUAGACAACUUGUUGACUAUGUUUAGUCUUGUAGCUUACUCGCUGACGCUAUUUUACCUACGCUUAGGAUGUUGAGCGCAUGUCUCUCUCU
rnacentral:rRNA from 1 species